GGGUGCAGCGUUAUCCGGAUUUAUUGGGUUUAAAGGGUCCGUAGGCGGAUCUGUAAGUCAGUGGUGAAAUCUCACAGCUUAACUGUGAAACUGCCAUUGAUACUGCAGGUCUUGAGUGUUGUUGAAGUAGCUGGAAUAAGUAGUGUAGCGGUGAAAUGCAUAGAUAUUACUUAAAACACCAAUUGCGAAGGCAGGUUACUAAGCAACAACUGACGCUGAUGGACGAAAGCGUGGGGAGCGAACAGGAUUAGAUACCCUGGUAGUCCACGCCGUAAACGAUGCUAACUCGUUUUUGGUUUUUCGGAAUCAGAGACUAAGCGAAAGUGAUAAGUUAGCCACCUGGGGAGUACGUUCGCAAGAAUGAAACUCAAAGGAAUUGACGGGGGCCCGCACAAGCGGUGGAUUAUGUGGUUUAAUUCGAUGAUACGCGAGGAACCUUACCAAGGCUUAAAUGGGAAAUGACAGGUUUAAAAAUAGACUUUUCUUCGGACAUUUUUCAAGGUGCUGCAUGGUUGUCGUCAGCUCGUGCCGUGAGGUGUUAGGUUAAGUCCUGCAACGAGCGCAACCCCUGUCACUAGUUGCCAUCAUUAAGUUGGGGACUCUAGUGAGACUGCCUACGCAAGUAGAGAGGAAGGUGGGGAUGACGUCAAAUCAUCACGGCCCUUACGCCUUGGGCCACACACGUAAUACAAUGGCCAGUACAGAGGGCAGCUACACGGUGACGUGAUGCAAAUCUCGAAAGCUGGUCUCAGUUCGGAUUGGAGUCUGCAACUCGACUCUAUGAAGCUGGAAUCGCUAGUAAUCGCGCAUCAGCCAUGGCGGGUGAAUAC
rnacentral:rRNA from 1 species